UACGUAGGUGGCGAGCGUUAUCCGGAUUUAUUGGGCGUAAAGCGUGCGCAGGCGGCUUAUUAAGUCUAAGAUUAAAGCCCGGGGCUUAACUCCGGUUCGUCUUAGAAACUGGUAGGCUUGAGUAUGGUAGAGGCAAAUGGAAUUCCUAGUGUAGCGGUGGAAUGCGUAGAUAUUAGGAGGAACACCAGUGGCGAAGGCGGUUUGCUGGGCCAUCACUGACGCUCAUGCACGAAAGCGUGGGGAGCAAAUAGG
rnacentral:rRNA from 1 species